rnacentral:rRNA from 1 species
UACGUAGGUGGCAAGCGUUGUCCGGAUUUAUUGGGUUUAAAGGGUGCGUAGGCGGCUUUGUACGUCAGUGGUGAAAUAUGGCAGCUCAACUGUCAGGGUGCCAUUGAUACUGCGGAGCUUGAGUACAGAUGAGGUAGGCGGAAUUGACGGUGUAGCGGUGAAAUGCUUAGAUAUCGUCAAGAACACCGAUAGCGAAGGCAGCUUACUGGGCUGUAACUGACGCUGAGGCACGAAAGUGUGGGGAUCAAACAGG